UCGGGUAUGGUGUAGCGGUAACAUCGUUGACUCUCACUUCUCAGAAGUGAUUGCCUCUCUCUCAACAGCCCCGGGUUCGACUCCCGGUAUCCGAG
rfam:Podospora anserina genomic DNA, chromosome 1.